AGCGAACGCUGGCGGCAGGCUUAACACAUGCAAGUCGAACGCCAUCUUCGGAUGGAGUGGCAGACGGGUGAGUAACGCGUGGAAACAUACCUUUUGCUUCGGAAUAUUCCCGGGAAACUGGGAGCAAUACCGAAUACGCCCUGAGGGGGAAAGAUUUAUCGGCAAAAGAUUGGUCCGCGUUAGAUUAGGUAGUUGGUAGGGUAAUGGCCUACCAAGCCUACGAUCUAUAGCUGGUCUGAGAGGAUGAUCAGCCACAUUGGGACUGAGACACGGCCCAAACUCCUACGGGAGGCAGCAGUGGGGAAUAUUGGACAAUGGGCGAAAGCCUGAUCCAGCCAUGCCGCGUGAAUGAUGAAGGCCUUAGGGUUGUAAAAUUCUUUCACCGGGGACGAUAAUGACGGUACCCGGAGAAGAAGCCCCGGCUAACUUCGUGCCAGCAGCCGCCGCGG
rnacentral:rRNA from 1 species